rnacentral:rRNA from 1 species
CGAACGUUAGCGGCGGGCCUAACACAUGCAAGUCGAACGCGAAAGGUCUUCGGACUGAGUAGAGUGGCGCACGGGUGAGUAACACGUAGGUAAUCUACCCUUUGGCGGGGGAUAACGUUCCGAAAGGAGCGCUAAUACCGCAUAAGACCACGGAGUCUCCGGACGCUGUGGGAAAAGGUGGCCUCUUCUUGAAAGCUACCACCGAAGGAUGAGCCUGCGUCCCAUCAGCUAGUUGAUAAGGUAAUGGCUUACCAAGGCGAAGACGGGUGGCUGGUUUGAGAGAAUGAUCAGCCACACUGGCACUGGAACACGGGCCAGACUCCUACGGGAGGCAGCAGUGAGGAAUAUUGGGCAAUGGGCGAAAGCCUGACCCAGCCACGCCGCGUGAGUGAUGAAGGCCCUCGGGUCGUAAAGCUCUGUGGAGAGGGACGAAAACCCUGGUUUCAAAUAGGCUCCAGGCUUGACGGUACCUCUUUAGCAAGCACCGGCUAACUCUGUG